CGUUGAAUGAUUCUUACGAUCUGAUGG
rnacentral:sRNA from 1 species